rnacentral:tRNA from 1 species
GCCUGGGUGGCUCAGUCAGUUAAGCAUCUGCCUUCAGCUCAGGUCAUGAUCUCAUGGUUUGUGGGUUCGAGCCCCACAUCAGGCU